GUCCGCCCGCCGACUGGACAAUUUAAACCCUUUGCAGUUGCAAUCAGCGUCUGAAAAAACUUAAUAGUUACAACUUUCAACAACGGAUCUCUUGGUUCUGGCAUCGAUGAAGAACGCAGCGAAAUGCGAUAAGUAGUGUGAAUUGCAGAAUUCAGUGAAUCAUCGAAUCUAAUACCGCACAUUGCGCCCCUUGGUAUUCCAUGGGGCAUGCCUGUUCGAGCGUCAUUUGUACCUUCAAGCUCUGCUUGGUGUUGGGUGUUUGUCUCGCCUCUGCGUGUAGACUCGCCUCAAAACAAUUGGCAGCCGGCGUAUUGAUUUCGGAGCGCAGUACAUCUCGCGCUUUGCACUCAUAACGACGACGUCCAAAAGUACAUUUUUACACUCUUGACCUCGGAUCAGGUAGGGAUACCCGCUGAACUUAAGCAUAUCAAUAAGCGGAGGAAAAGAAACCAACAGGGAUUGCCCUAGUAACGGCGAGUGAAGCGGCAACAGCUCAAAUUUGAAAAGCGGUCCAAGUUCCUUGGAACAGGACGUCACAGAGGGUGAGAAUCCCGUACGUG
rnacentral:rRNA from 1 species